rnacentral:rRNA from 1 species
AACAAACGCUGGCGGCGUGCCUAAUACAUGCAAGUCAAACGGGGAAAGGCUUCGGCCAAGUACUAGUGGCGCACGGGUGAGGAAUACGUGGGUAAUCUGCCCUCAAGUGGGGAAUAACCAGUCGAAAGAUUGGCUAAUACCGCAUAAGACCUCAAGAUCUGCGGAUCAAGGGGUCAAAGGAGCAAUUCGCUUGAGGAUGAGUCCGCGUGAGAUUAGCUAGUUGGUGAGGUAAUGGCUCACCAAGGCAGUGAUCUCUAACUGGUCUGAGAGGAUGAUCAGUCACACUGGAACUGAGACACGGUCCAGACUCCUACGGGAGGCAGCAGUAGGGAAUAUUGCGCAAUGGGGGAAACCCUGACGCAGCGACGCCGCGUGAGUGAUGAAGGCCUUCGGGUCGUAAAGCUCUGUCGUAUGGGAAAAAGAUCUGAUUGUACCAUAUAAGAAGGGAUCGGCUAACUUCGUGCCAGCAGCCGCCGUAA